rnacentral:rRNA from 1 species
AUUGAACGCUGGCGGCAGGCCUAACACAUGCAAGUCGAGCGGGGUUUUCGGACUUAGUGGCGGACGGGUGAGUAACACGUGGGAACGUACCUUUUGGUUCGGAACAACUCAGGGAAACUUGAGCUAAUACCGGAUGAGCCCUUAGGGGGAAAGAUUUAUCGCCGAAAGAGCGGCCCGCGUUAGAUUAGCUAGUUGGUGAGGUAAAGGCUCACCAAGGCUACGAUCUAUAGCUGGUCUGAGAGGAUGAUCAGCCACACUGGGACUGAGACACGGCCCAGACUCCUACGGGAGGCAGCAGUGGGGAAUCUUGCGCAAUGGGCGAAAGCCUGACGCAGCCAUGCCGCGUGAAUGAUGAAGGUCUUAGGAUUGUAAAAUUCUUUUACCAGGGACGAUAAUGACGGUACCUGGAGAAAAAGCCCCGGCUAACUUCGUGCCAGCCGCCGCCGUAACAC